CAAGACGUAGCUUUAACCAAAGCAUUCAGCUUACACCUGAAAGAUACCUAGUAAUAUUAGGUCGUCUUGA
rnacentral:tRNA from 1 species